rnacentral:rRNA from 1 species
GAACUAAAGAGUUUGAUCCUGGCUCAGAUUGAACGCUGGCGGCAUGCUUUACACAUGCAAGUCGAACGGUAACAGGCCGCAAGGUGCUGACGAGUGGCGAACGGGUGAGUAAUGUAUCGGAACGUGCCCUGUCGUGGGGGAUAACGCACCGAACGCUGCGCUAAUACCGCAUACGAUCUAUGGAUGAAAGCGGGGGACCGU